UGGGGAAUAUUGCACAAUGGGCGAAAGCCUGAUGCAGCAACGCCGCGUGAGGGACGACGGCCUUCGGGUUGUAAACCUCUUUUAGCAAGGAAGAAGCGAAAGUGACGGUACUUGCAGAAAAAGCGCCGGCUAACUACGUGCCAGCAGCCGCGGUAAUACGUAGGGCGCAAGCGUUAUCCGGAAUUAUUGGGCGUAAAGAGCUCGUAGGCGGUUUGUCGCGUCUGCUGUGAAAACCCGAGGCUCAACCUCGGGCCUGCAGUGGGUACGGGCAGACUAGAGUGCGGUAGGGGAGAUUGGAACUCCUGGUGUAGCGGUGGAAUGCGCAGAUAUCAGGAAGAACACCGAUGGCGAAGGCAGAUCUCUGGGCCGUAACUGACGCUGAGGAGCGAAAGGGUGGGGAGCAAACAGGCUUAGAUACCCUGGUAGUCCACCCGUAAACGUUGGGAACUAGUUGUGGGGUCCAUUCCACGGAUUCCGUGACGCAGCUAACGCAUUAAGUUCCCCGCCUGGGGAGUACGGCCGCAAGGCU
rnacentral:rRNA from 1 species